rnacentral:sRNA from 1 species
CUCUCUUUCUCUCUCUCUCUCUCUAGUUACCUAAACAAGAAUAAAUACCUGACAGUUAUUGACAAAGAUGCAUUUGGAGGAGUAUACAGUGGACCAAGCUUGCUGCUACCUCUUGGAAGAAAGUCCUUGUCCUUUGAGACUCAGAAGGCCCCAAGCUCCAGUAUGCCAUCCUGAUGCCUGCUAAGGCAGCCACCUUGGUGUACAUGCUCACAGAGGCUCUGUUCAUGGAGCAGCUGCUGUUUGAAAAAUUUUGAAAUGCAAGGUCCACAACUAGAUGGAAGGCACUCUAGUCUUUGCAGAAAAAAAUGUACCUGAAUGUACAUUGCACAAUGC